rnacentral:misc_RNA from 1 species
AGAAAAUUUGGAAAAUGUACAUGCCGCACAACAUGGGAGUCGAGUUUUUCUUGGAUCAAAGCCCAAACCAAGUUAGGGUACGGCUGGUCAAAGACUUAGAUGCAAGUCCAAACCUAACCCCUUAUCCCGGUGAGCCCCAGCAUCUUCUCCGGCAAUCCCACUCCACUGCACCGGGAACGAAGUUCUGGCAUGAAGUCCCAAACCCUCAUCGGACACUCGAACCUCGUCUUCAACAAAUCUUUCAGACCCAGAAAGCAAUGGGCGACUCAAAUAGGACGUGUAAAACCAUGAAGGAGACUGAUGCUGAUGCUGCUGCACUGCCAUCGGAACCAUCGCCGGAGGUAGGAGAUGGGGUGGAAGCGGCGUCAAGGUGGAGAACAUGGAAGUAGGGACGUAAGAAGAUGCCAGGUUACGCGUUGCUUGGAUCUGUGCGCGCUUUAGAAGCUGCCUUUCCUUCUUGUGAGCGUUUUGGUGGCCACCCAGUGCUUGAGAGUUGGCGAACUCCCUGCAACAAUAUUGACACUCAAAUUUUCGACCUUCAAUCUCUGAUUCAGGAGACCCAGAUAGAGAUUUGCUUGAAUCCACAGGAAUAUUAUUCUCUAAAAUAUUGAAGCCGAAGAGCUUUAAGGUUGAGUUGUUGGUGGCAUUAGGUUUAGCAUGAUAGUGAUCAAUAUCAGCCAUGAGAGAGAGAGAGGAUAAGAGGGAUCAAUGAGACCUAUUUGAAAGAUGGAAACCUUUUGCGUGAGCUGGUAUUUAUAAAGGGUAAAGGUUUGAGCAAUAAAGAAAGAUUUUGAUUAAGAAGACGAGACGGAAAGGAAAUAGAGAGAAGGGAGAUCUAGUUGGUUGUGAAAAUCCUGAGGAUGAGGAAUAAGAAUUAUCAAGAAAAACCCAGAGGAAGAAACCUGAGGAGCUACGCUAGCUAUA